GACAGAGGGUGCAAACGUUGUUCGGAAUUACUGGGCGUAAAGCGAGUGUAGGCGGUCUGAAAAGUCGGGUGUGAAAGCCCCGGGCUCAACCCGGGAAGUGCACUCGAAACUGCCAGGCUAGAGUAUCGGAGAGGUUGGUGGAAUUCUCGGUGUAGAGGUGAAAUUCGUAGAUAUCGAGAGGAACACCGGUGGCGAAGGCGGCCAACUGGACGAAUACUGACGCUGAGACUCGAAAGCGUGGGGAGCGAACAGG
rnacentral:rRNA from 1 species